UUUGGACUCUGCAAGGCCUCGUCCACAGCUCUCUGGUAGAAACGUGCUGAUUUACUCUGGAACAUUUCAAACCAACGAGAUGUUGUUAGUUGUUGUUCUUCCAGCAGGUUGACUCCAGAGUUGAUGAAGGUCUGAUGGACAUGAAGAGCAGCCAGAAACUCAUGAACACUCAGAUG